UACGUAGGUGGCAAGCGUUGUCCGGAUUUACUGGGCGUAAAGGGCGUGCAGGCGGUCUGUUAAGUGCAGGGUGAAAGCUCCCGGCUCAACUGGGAGAGGUCCUUGCAUACUGGCGGACUUGAGGGGGGUAGAGGAAAGUGGAAUUCCCGGUGUAGUGGUGAUAUGCGUAGAUAUCGGGAGGAACACCUGUGGCGAAGGCGGCGUCCUGGACCAACACUGACACUGAUGAGCGAAAGCCAGGGGAGCAAACGGG
rnacentral:rRNA from 1 species